rnacentral:lncRNA from 10 species
UUUGCAGCAUGGGGUGGAGAUGAGUUAAAAAAAAAAAAAAAGAAUCACAUGCACUGUCAAGAUACCUGGCUUGAGCACCUGAGCAGGAGAUGGUACACUAAAGGAGAUAUUAUAAUUUACUUAGUGUGGUUCUUUACACACAGUAACCUUCUAACAAAUGAUAACUAUUUUUUCUCUUAUAAAAAGGGGUGUGUUAGAAAACAGGAAGUUAGUAGACUGCUAAAAGGAAAUGCUGAGAGAGACCUUCAUGGGGAGAAAAAAUGAAAGGCAGAAGGACAAUAAAGACAGCCUUUAUCUACUUCAAUCAAUUUUGACCAAUUUUGUUGCUACUAGGCAACUGUAGAAGAAAUACCCAAAUCUGGCCGGGCGCGGUGGCUUGCGCCUGUAAUCCUAGCACUUUGGGAGGCUGAGGCGGGUGAAUCACGAGGUCAGGAGUUAGAGACCAGCCUAGCCAACAUGGUGAAACCUGGUCUCUACUAAAACACAAAAACUUAGCCGGGUACAGCAGUGUGCGCCUGUAAUCCCAGCUACUCAGGAGGCUGAGACAGGAGAAUCACUUGAAUCCAGGAGGCGGAGUUUGCACUGAGCUGAGAUCGUGCCAUUGCACUCUAGCCUGGGCAACAGUGCGAGACUCCGUCUCAAAAAAAAAAAAGAAAAAGAAAAAGAAAAGAAAUACCCAAAUCUGCAAAAUGAAGUAUUUUGAGUAUUCACCAGCAAAGUAUAUGCAUGUCUAGGAAACCUC